CCUGCCAAUAACUUCCUGAGGUUUGAGGGUGCCCGGCAUUUCUCCUCUAUGUACAAGGCAAUUGAAGCCCUGUCAGAACCACUUGGCUCCUUCAAUGUUGUAAUAGCAUCUAAUAUUAGAUUAUCCAAUCUUGAAAGUAGUUCUUUUGAACCAACAUUCCUUGGUGUUCCUCUAGAAAUUGCUAUAGGCUUAGCAUCAAC
rnacentral:misc_RNA from 1 species